ACUUCUGUCUCCUGGAUGAUGGGGGCUGCACGUCCAGUACAGGAAAGACACAUAUUGAAAAACAGCAAGUACUUCCAGGAACUGACAGAUGCAAAGAGAAGCACCUUGCUCACUGUCCUCUCUGCACGGGCUGUCUGGAUAUCCCAGAUGGAGGAGGUGGUACAGCUGGCCAACUGGCAAGAGAGAUCUGCCUUUCAUCAACCUCGAGCAUGGGAAAAGUCCCCCUGCAGGAACUUCUUCUGGAAGACUUUCUCCUCCUGCUAACAAAAUAGCUUCCUGAAGAUCUAUUUUAGAGUGGCUUUAGCAACAGCUGCCUCAGUCAGGAUGAAUAUGAUCUGUGACGUGAACAAAUACUGUCUCAAGUGUGAUUAGACUCUCCCCAUCUUCAUUCUCUAAUAAAAAUUGAAUAGAACUGUGUAGACAAAUAAUUCUAUGAUUGAAAUGGAGUGCAAACAUAAAGACUGAGCUUCUUGAAAAGAACUAAAUUGUUACUAUUUGCAUUACAGUUCAGAUAAAAGGCUGAAUUGUCAACUGCCCAACAACUUUUGGUCUGAUCCUGCAGUUCUCAUUUUCCCAAAAUCCUCUAAGGGGAGGAGGGACUGCAUAAGCCGGUUUAAUAAAUAGUUACAAUGGCAUUAUCUAUAGCGGAGCUCCAAGGAUCAUGCUUUUUUUAAAUUCUUGUUCCUUAGGUUUUUCAUACUAUUAUCUAGUACAACCACCUACUUUAUACUAUAUCACUGUAGAGCUUGCUCUGGAAAAGACUUUUCACUUCUCUUAAAGUUUUUUUGGAAGACC